UACGGAGGGAGCAAGCGUUGUCCGGAUUUAUUGGGCGUAAAGAGCUCGUAGGCGGUUCGGUAAGUCGGGUGUGAAAACUCUGGGCUCAACCCGGAGACGCCACCCGAUACUGCUGUGACUUGAGUCUGGUAGGGGAGCACGGAAUUCCUGGUGUAGCGGUGAAAUGCACAGAUAUCAGGAGGAACACCGGUGGCGAAGGCGGUGCUCUGGGCCAGUACUGACGCUGAGGAGCGAAAGCGUGGGUAGCGAACAGG
rnacentral:rRNA from 1 species